GGCGUAAGGGCUCGCAGGCGGUUUCUUAAGUCUGAUGUGAAAGCCCCCGGCUCAACCGGGGAGGGUCAUUGGAAACUGGGAAACUUGAGUGCAGAAGAGGAGAGUGGAAUUCCACGUGUAGCGGUGAAAUGCGUAGAGAUGUGGAGGAACACCAGUGGCGAAGGCGACUCUCUGGUCUGUAACUGACGCUGAGGAGCGAAAGCGUGGGGAGCGAACAGGAUUAGAUACCCUGGUAGUCCACGCCGUAAACGAUGAGUGCUAAGUGUUAGGGGGUUUCCGCCCCUUAGUGCUGCAGCUAACGCAUUAAGCACUCCGCCUGG
rnacentral:rRNA from 1 species